rnacentral:tRNA from 1 species
GGGGGCUUAGCUCAGCGGCGGAGCGCACGGUUCACAUCCGUGAGGUCACAGGUUCAAAUCCUGUAGCCCCCACCA